CCUAUCAGAGGGGGAUAACCCGGCGAAAGUCGGACUAAUACCGCAUGAAGCAGGGGCCCCGCAUGGGGAUAUUUGCUAAAGAUUCAUCGCUGAUAGAUAGGCAUGCGUUCCAUUAGGCAGUUGGCGGGGUAACGGCCCACCAAGCCGACGAUGGAUAGGGGUUCUGAGAGGAAGGUCCCCCACAUUGGUACUGAGACACGGACCAAACUCCUACGGGAGGCAGCAGUGAGGAAUAUUGGUCAAUGGCCGAGAGGCUGAACCAGCCAAGUCGCGUGAGGGAUGAAGGUUCUAUGGAUCGUAAACCUCUUUUAUAAGGGAAUAAAGUGCGGGACGUGUCCCGUUUUGUAUGUACCUUAUGAAUAAGGAUCGGCUAACUCCGUGCCAGCAGCCGCGGUAAUACGGAGGAUCCGAGCGUUAUCCGGAUUUAUUGGGUUUAAAGGGUGCGUAGGCGGCCUUUUAAGUCAGCGGUGAAAGUCUGUGGCUCAACCAUAGAAUUGCCGUUGAAACUGGGGGGCUUGAGUAUGUUUGAGGCAGGCGGAAUGCGUGGUGUAGCGGUGAAAUGCAUAGAUAUCACGCAGAACCCCGAUUGCGAAGGCAGCCUGCCAAGCCAUGACUGACGCUGAUGCACGAAAGCGUGGGGAUCAAACAGGAUUAGAUACCCUGGUAGUCCACGCAGUAAACAAAGAUCACUAGCUGUUUGCGAUACACUGUAAGCGGCA
rnacentral:rRNA from 1 species